CUUUUCAGGAGUUGACUGUGUGCUGGUACCACAUUGAUCGUUCUGCUUAGUCAAAGGCAUAACAGGAUGAGGAGACACUGACUCCAGCCCCAGGGAAUUUACAACUACAGGUUGAAUUUGCCACUAAAGGUUGAAUUUGCCACUUCAAGAUUCAACGUGAACAGCUGUUCACGACUGGAGGACCAAUGCUUAUUUUGUCCUUUACUGAGUGAUGUCUCAACAUCAACCUUUCCCGAAAUGUCUGAUGUAGGUUGUGAAAAGCUCGCCGCCUGUCAGGCAAGGCGGCCUGUGAAAAUAACCAGGAAGAUGUAGCAAAUGGACUGUCUGCUGCAAUUUACAAGGAUGCAAUUAAGGAGAUUAUAGAACCUGCCCAAGAUCACACACACGCACAGUAAGUUAGGAUGCUGACAAGACGGUCUGAGAGUAGCGCUUUAUGCUCCAAGUUGAGAUAUUACACAGUCUCUCUGGCGACCCGUUUCUGUGUUUCCAUCUUUAAUAUUGUACCCAUUUCUUUAUUCCAAAUUUUAACUCAUAUAAAUUCUUUACAUCGUAUGUACUGAGGAUGACUAUACACAAAAUCUAAAAUACACACUAAACAUUCACAUACGACACGUAAAUGCAUAAUUCAAUUAAAGACAAAUUUGGCAAACUUGAUGAAUCUGGUACUGGCCCUGAUCCACCCACGUCAGCCAGCCUUCACCGUUUCCAUGAGUGGAGACCCCGUCUCCAGUCCUUUACCCUGUGUGUCUUUACUUGGAAGCAUUCCUUUUUGGCUACAGCAUUCUACCUAAGCGCCUCCCAGGAGCAGUCCUCUAGCGUGCAUCUUCAGAGCUGAUGGAUGAACAGCCUGACCCCUUUACUUCCCGGACUGUGGAGAGUGUGUCUGAGGUACACAGUCUUUGUCACAUGCCGCAGAACCCCCUUACUCUGGGCUCAGUCACCCGCUAUUGCUUCCUAUUCUUCUCUAUCUAAUUCACCCCUUCCCCUGGAAAAGACUCAUGGGAUCAUCUCUGAAAUAAAUGCUGUGCAUCCAAAUCCUUGUCUCAGGAUCUUCCCAGGAAACUCAAACUAUGCUAUGGAAUGAAAAUAUACAAUCUAACUCUGUUAUACAUAUACGAGUCACACUUUAAAUCAAAAGAUAAAGUUUUGAGAAUGCAAUACUUAAAAUACAGCAAAAGCACCAAAAAAUAGCCUCUGUCAUUAUACCGA